rnacentral:rRNA from 1 species
UGCGUAACGCGUGAGCAACAGUCGCCCGUAUCGAGGGGAAUAACUACCAGUAGGAAACGUGGUCUAACUACCCAUAGUAAUUAUGUAAGGCAUCUUAUAUUAAUUAAGUCUUGUGGAUACGGAUUGGCUCGCGUGACAUUAGCUAGAUGGUAAGGUAACGGCUUACCAUGGGCUACGAUGUCUAGGGGUUCUGAGAGGAAGGUCCCCCACACUGGAACUGAGACACGGUCCAGACUCCUACGGGAGGCAGCAGUGAGGAAUAUUGGACAAUGGAUGGAAAUCUGAUCCAGCCAUGCCGCGUGCAGGAAGAACCGGCCCUAUGGGUUGUAAACUGCUUUUGUAUGGGAGCAAUAAGGGCUACGUGUAGUCCGAUGAGAGUACCAUACGAAUAAGCACCGGCUAACUCCGUGCCAGCAGCUGC